rnacentral:misc_RNA from 1 species
GAUGAAGAACGCAGCGAAAUGCGAUAAGUAAUGUGAAUUGCAGAAUUCAGUGAAUCAUCGAAUCUUUGAACGCACAUUGCGCCCGCUAGUAUUCUGGCGGGCAUGCCUGUUCGAGCGUCAUUUCAACCAUCAAGCCCCAGGCUUGUGUUGGGGGCCUGCGGCUGCCGCAGCCCCUGAAAAGCAGUGGCGGGCUCGCUGUCAUUCCGAGCGCAGUAGUUACAUCUCGCUCCGGGCGUGGCGGUGGGCACCUGCCGUGAAACACUCCUUCUAAGGUUGACCUCGGAUCAGGUAGGAACACCCGCUGAACUUAAGCAUAUCAAUAAGCGGAGGA